GCGGACGUGGUGGAACGGCAGACACGUAGCGUUCAGGGCGCUAUGGGCACAAGCCCGUGAGAGUUCAAAUCUCUCCGUCCGCACCU
rnacentral:tRNA from 1 species